rnacentral:rRNA from 1 species
GAACGUUGGCGGCGUGGAUUAGGCAUGCAAGUCGUGCGAGAAGUCUUUUGCUUGCAUUAGACGGACAGCGGCGAAAGGGAGAGUAACGCGUGGAUACCUACCUCCAGAUCAGGGAUAGCUGCGGGAAACUGCAGGUAAUACCUGAUAAUGUCCCCGGACCAAAGGUGAGAUUCCGUCUGGAGACGGAUCCGCGUCCUAUUAGCUUGUUGGUGGGGUAACGGCCUACCAAGGCAACGAUGGGUACCGGGCGUGAGAGCGUGACCCGGCUCACUGGGACUGAGACACUGCCCAGACACCUACGGGUGGCUGCAGUCGAGAAUCUUCGGCAAUGGACGAAAGUCUGACCGAGCGACGCCGCGUGCGGGAUGAAGGCCUUCGGGUUGUAAACCGCUGUCAGUUGGGAGGAAAUCACAUGGGGUCAUCCCCAUGUGUUGACCUAUCUUCAGAGGAAGGACGGGCUAAGUUCGUGCCAGCAGCCGCGGUAAGACGAACCGUCCAAACGUUAUUCGGAAUUACUGGGCUUAAAGGGUGCGUAGGCGGUGCUGUAAGUUGGGUGUGAAAUCCCUCGGCUCAACCGAGGAAUUGCGCCCAAUACUGCAGUACUAGAGGGAGACAGAGGUGAGCGGAACUUGUGGUGGAGCGGUGAAAUGCGUUGAUAUCACAAGGAACACCUGUGGCGAAAGCGGCUCACUGGGUCUCUUCUGACGCUGAGGCACGAAAGCUGGGGGAGCGAACGGGAUUAGAUACCCCGGUAGUCCCAGCUGUAAACGAUGA